AGCGGGUGUCCCCUGCUUGCAUCUUCCGGGGCCGGCCGCGCUUUUUUCUCCACGAGGGGAACAACGAAUAGCAGCUGCGCCAAGGCCGCUUUACGGGUGGCAUCAAUAGCUCCCAAAGGCAAAUGCUACUCCUUUCGGGCCUCGAUGCAAGUAACUAAUUGUGGGGAGGAAGAAGGAGCUACUAUGUUGGUGUCCAAGGGAGGAGAGAAAUACAGUAACUGAUCUCGGGACUGGUCCAUAGUCAAAGAACUGAUCUAAGCGUGCAAACCACAGGUACAGAUUUUCCAAGGUCGCUUUUCUCCUGCUGCAAGCCAAAUUGUUUAUUUUGAACUUUUGCACCUACCAAUCUCGGAAAACCCACGCAUCAUUUCCACAUUGAAUUUUCAGGCAAGAAACAAUCCCUGGAAUAAUAGUCGUCCUUCAAUCACAGGAGAGUCUAGGAGCCCAGCUACUUCACUCAGAAGUUCACCAACACCUGGGCACUUGGACCUUGCCUUACCUCACCUUGAAUGCCUCGCUGGCUGCUACUCGCUGAAAAAGCCGCCAGCUUGCUUACCUUCGCUCUUCGGACCGAAUCCCAAGCUACUGGUUGCAAUGCCUGCCUUCCUUCACUUGUUGCAAUCCCUGCAAUCAAUUGCACCUGCUAGCAACUGAAUCUGCCUGCCCUGUCCCUUCAACUGGCUGCUGCCUUUAACAGAAGGAUGAAAAGGCAACAGACUUUGACGGGUUUCUAGGGCAAGAAACCAAAACUUGAACAACCACCAGCAGAAGUGGAACAAGAACCAUCCCCAGCGCCACAAGCGUCACCACCUGAAAAUGGAGAAAACAAUAAAUCAAGUAUAGAGUCACCCGCCGCACCUGAAAUCAGAAGCAUUCUUCCAGACUGCUGGACCAUGUAACAGUACAGCUACUUCCAAGAGAAGUAUGACGGGUUUCAAACAAGAAACUAGGUUGUAAAUACUGUGUGAAACAUGGCUUCACAAUGGAGAGCGGUAUUCAUGUAAGCAAAGAGUGGAAGCUUUUCAAGAUUGAGCCAGCUGGGAAAAACAAGGAAGUGCACCAGGCGUCUCUACAGAAGAAAAUGAAAUAACAUUUUGCAUCAAAAUCGCACACCAUUUGUAGAGACAACGUCAAACAAGCUGAGCAGGAAGCCAUAACAAAAGCAAUGGACAAAAUUUCUGAAAUGCAAUUUGCCACCACUUCUAAAAUGUUCAAAACUGUUUACAGCCUGGCAAAAGCAUGCAGACCAAUUUCAAGCAUAGAGGAAUUGAUAGAAUUACAAACUGAAAAUGGAGUAGAUCUGGGGAGUAGAGUUGCAUUCAAGACCAACAGUUGUCAAAAUAGUUGAGUGCAUUGCAAACGAAAUUAAAACCCAAAUGUUUUUCAGCAUCAUUGCACAAUCUGAAAAUAUGUCUGAUCUUUGAUGAAGCCUCAACAGAAGCCACAACAGUAUCCUGCAAACCAGUUCUGAUAGUGUUCUUAAAAGUUGAUGACUCGGAGGACCCACCAACAAUUUUUGUCGAGCUGGUUGAAUUGAAGAAACAAGAUGCAGAGACAGUAUGUUCUGCAGUUUUUGAAAGUUUACAUAAGGUUGGAUUUACCCGGGACUACCUAUAAAAAAAACUUAAUACCGUUCUGCUCUGAUGAUGCCAGUGUUAUGCUUGGGAGAAAAUCGGGAGUGAGCACCAGAAUAGCCAAAGAGUUUCCAAACAUCAUCAUAUGGCACUGCUUGAACCAUCACUUCCAACUUGUUUUAGAUGAUGCCAUAAAGUAAAUAAAGCAAGUAAAUCAUUUAAAAAUUUUUAUUGAUAAGAUAUGCUCCAUUUUCCAGCAAUCGAAUAAAAACCGAAUUGAACUUGAUGAAAUAUUUGAAGAACUUGAAAUUAACAUCAUAAGGAUUGGUCGGGUUUUUGGCCCAAGAUGGGCUGCCUGUAGUUUAAGGGCAACCAUAGCUGUGUGGCGUGCUUAUCCUGUGCUCAUCAAUAUUUUCAUGUUAAUGCAAAAUACUUGGGGUAUGGCUGCCUAUCUGGAAAAUAAACAUUUCUUAAAUGAUUUGGUGUGAUGAUAGACAUUUUUGAAGAAAUUUCACUUCUUUCAACUGCAUUGCAAGCACGCAAUACAGACAUAAUAAAAGCUGAAAAACUGGUGAGACGAUCAAUAAAGGCAUUUGAACUGCUAACAAAGGGAAAGGGCCCAUACGAAAGAAAAGUUGAAGGACUAAUUACCUCAGAAACUUUCAGGAAUAUAAAAUUCAUAGAAAAUGAUCGAUUUGUUGGUCUUCAUCGAGAAAGACUUUUACAAAGUAUCAUCAAAAAUUUGCAGAAACGACUGAUGGACUGUGAGCAUUUAAAAACUGGGAACCAAGUGCAAGACACCACAAAUAAACUACAGUUUCUACAGUUUUUGGUGCCAGAGUACUGGGAUUUUGAGGAAAUAGUCGUUCCAUGGGCAGCACCUGAAGAACAAUUGUGCACAUUUAGUGACAUUUUCAACUACAAAAUUGACAUCAAUGACUACAGAGAUUUUGUGGAGAAUGUCUUGAAAGAUUCGAAGAGGUAUACAAUUCCUGACAGUAUCAAAAAAGCAAAAGAUAUUGUCAGAACAAUUGCAGUGAGUUCUGCAGAAGCGGAAAGGUUUUUUUCUAAAAUGAACCUGAUAUGUUCAGAAAGCAGAAGUCGCCUAGCCAUUUCCAAUCUAUCCAACUUCAUGACCAUCAGCGUUACUGGAUUAACCCUAUUCCUGCAGCGAAGAAAUGGUUCAGAGAACACCAUCGCUCAGCCAAUGAUCUGUGCAUCAAAUGCAAGAAAAAAGUGAGGAGAGUGCCACUGAAAUAGCUAUGUGAAAACAUCUCAAAGCUAAAGAUGACUAACGGUUUUAUGUCGUUAUUAUCCUUGGUGCAAGAAGCAUCGUUGAAGACAACACUUUUAUUGCUCUUCUAUAAGUAUUUGUGUACCUCUUACUGUUUUGUGUACCUUGUUUAUUAUUUAAGUAUUGAUUACAUGAAAUAAUUGGUAUAUCUUUUUUGUAGUUCAAAAAAAGCAAAGAAGUGAUGUCGACUUGGCCACGCCCACCAGUCACCUGACCACCAAGCCACGCCCACCCAGUCACCAAGCCACACCCACCAAUUAAGCUACACCCACAGAACCAGUAGUGAAAAUUUUUAGAUUUCACCCCUGGGUCUUUUCUAGAGUAAUAACUCCUGCUCGAGGAGCUGAUGGCAGCCAUGACCAAGAGCACAUUUGCAGAAUUUCUUUUGUGCACCAGUUGCUCCUGUUUCUGAAUUGGAAAGCUUAAGCCUUAGUCACUUCUCAGUUGGACUAUUGCAAUAUGAUGUACAUGGGGUUCCCAUUGAGUAGUGUUCAGAAUCUAUUGCUGCUCCAGAAUGCAACAGCCAACAGCAGUGAGUUUUAGAUGCAUCAUAAAAUACUUUUGGUACAUGAGCUGCACUGACUUCCAACCAGGUUUCCAGAUAUAAUUCAAGGUGUUGUCUAUAAAGCCAUGCCUGGCAUUGGGCAGUAUAUUUGAGGUACUGCCUGUUUCUGGUUGUUUAUGCCUGUCCAAUCAGAUCCAAUCAGAGGGACGCGGUGGCUCAGGGGCUAAGACAGCUGAGCUUGUCAAUCGAAAGGUCAGCAGUUCGGCGGUUCGAAUCCCUAGUGCUGCCGUGUAACAGGGUGAGCUCCCAUUACUAGUCCCAGCUUCUGCCAACCUAGCAGUUUCGAAAGCACAUAAAAAUGCAAAUAGAAAAAAUAGGGACCACCUUUGGUGGGAAGGUAACAGCGUUCCGUGCGCCUUUGGCGUUGAGUCAUGCCGGCCACAUGACCACAGAGACGUCUUUGGACAGCGCUGGCUCUUCGGCUUUGAAACGGAGAUGAGCACCGUCCCCUAGAGUCAGCAACGACUAGCACGUUCCUGGACCCGGACUCCUGGACUCGGAUGAUUCAGAAAGUGAGGGAGAAGACCUGGCCAGCCCUGCUUCUCUUGAGCCCUUUCCCUCCCUGGCACCCACUCAAAGGGAGGAGGAGGGGCCGGCAAAGCCUGAUUCUCUGGAGCCUCCUUCUGAUUUGGCAACGCCCCAAGAACAGUUUUGGAGUGAUGCAAGAUUACGUAGACGUGACCGGCGUGCGCAGCAGCGGAAGAGUUGGGACAAAGCCAAGUCAUAAUUGUCAUGCAGUGACAUCUGCAGAGACUAUAAAUAGGAGGCGGGACUUCCUGGUUUUUUGUCUUGGACAAAGCAAUGAAUUGGCGCGAGCUAACUGUCUCAAUGGAGGGAAGAAUCUAUUCGUGAGUAAUUCUGGCCUUAUCUAUAAUUUCCUCGUUAUCUCCAGAAACUUGGCAGGCCCGUGGGUAGACGUGGCCAGGACAUGUAUCUAUGUAAAUAAAAGGAGAAAAGAAGGCCUCUGACUGACUCUUUGCUGGGAGUAUUAGGGGGAGGGAAACAGAACAUUUUGUCCAAGACCUGACUAAAACAUCUUCCACCAAAGAUGGACCAGCAGCAGGUACAGCAGCAGUUAGAGCAGCUACAAGCGGCUAAUCAACAGCUCCAGCAGCAAGUGGCUCACUUGGCAGGCCAACUUGCUGCCAGGAAUG